UUCGCAAUGCCCGAAAGGGUGACGAAGCGACGCCGCGUGAGCGAAGAAGGCCCUAGGGUUGUAAAGCUCUGCCGGGGGUUAUGAAAUGUAGAUCGGUUAAUACCCGGUUUAUUUGACAAAGGCCCCAAAGGAAGCCACGGCUAACUCUGUGCCAGCAGCCGCUGUAAUACAGAGGUGGCAAGCGUUGUUCGGUAUUAUUGGGCGUAAAGAGCACGUAGGUGGUUUUGUAAGUCAGAUGUGAAAGCCUUCUGUUCAAAGGAAGAACGGCAUCUGAAACUGCGAAUCUUGAGUGUAGGAGGGGAGAGUGGAACUUCUGGUGGAGCGGUGAAAUGCGUAGAUAUCAGAAGGAACGUCGGCGGCGAAAGCGACUCUCUGGCCUAUUACUGACACUGAGUGUGCGAAAGUUAAGGGAGCAAACGGGAUUAGAUACCCCGGUAGUCCUAACUGUAAACGAUGGGCACUAAGUAGAGGGGUUUU
rnacentral:rRNA from 1 species